CGGAGGAUGCAAGCGUUAUCCGGAUUUAUUGGGUUUAAAGGGUGCGCAGGUUGUUUGAUAAGUCAGUGGUGAAAGUCUGUCGCUUAACGGUAGGAUUGCCAUUGAUACUGUUAGACUUGAAUAUGGAUGAGGUAGGCGGAAUGUGUAGUGUAGCGGUGAAAUGCAUAGAUAUUACACAGAACACCGAUUGCGAAGGCAGCUUACUAAUCCAUCAUUGACGCUGAGGCACGAAAGCGUGGGGAGCGAACA
rnacentral:rRNA from 1 species